GGGAUGGCAAACGAGAAUCUCUUGCAUUAUUUGUUUUCUAUGAUUGCCCCUUUCUGAUGUGUACCCGAUGUUUCUGUCAUUAAACAUUAUUGUAAAGGGACCAAUUGCUUUCUCAACCAUAUUACUCUUAUAGACAAUAACACGUCUCUAUCUUUUACAUAUUUUCACUUCAAAUCUUGUUGGUGCAGUUUAACUUGAUCUGCUGCAAAUAA
rnacentral:misc_RNA from 1 species